rnacentral:rRNA from 1 species
AGCGAACGCUGGCGGCAGGCUUAACACAUGCAAGUCGAACGGGCGUAGCAAUACGCCAGUGGUAGACGGGUGAGUAACACGUGGGAACGUACCUCUUGGUUCGGAACAACACAGGGAAACUUGUGCUAAUACCGGAUAAGCCCUUACGGGGAUAGAUUUAUCGCCGAGAGAUCGGCCCGCGUCUGAUUAGCUAGUUGGUAGGGUAAUGGCCUACCAAGGCGACGAUCAGUAGCUGGUCUGAGAGGAUGAUCAGCCACAUUGGGACUGAGACACGGCCCAAACUCCUACGGGAGGCAGCAGUGGGGAAUAUUGGACAAUGGGGGCAACCCUGAUCCAGCCAUGCCGCGUGAGUGAUGAAGGCCCUAGGGUUGUAAAGCUCCUUUGUGCGGGAAGAUAAUGACGGUACCGCAAGAAUAAGCCCCGGCUAACUUCGUGCCAGCCGCCGCCGUAA